rnacentral:rRNA from 1 species
AUACGGAGGGUGCAAGCGUUACUCGGAAUCACUGGGCGUAAAGCGCGCGCAGGCGGUCUUUUAAGUUGGAUGUGAAAGCCUACAGCUCAACUGUAGAACUGCAUCCAAAACUAUUAGACUAGAGUCUGGGAGGGGAGGAUGGAAUUAGUUGUGUAGGGGUAAAAUCCGUAGAGAUAACUAGGAAUACCAAAAGCGAAGGCGAUCUUCUGGAACAGUACUGACGCUGAGGCGCGAAAGCGUGGGGAGCAAACAGGAUUAGAAACCCCAGUAGUCC